GAAGGAGAAAAAAAUUGAAGGGACUAAAAUAGCCUUAUAACUUCCUUUCCAAAGUCUAAUAUUUUGUCCUACUAAAAAAAAAUAAUAUAUCAGAAACGCCACAAAGAAGGGGAAAAACUUCACCAUCUGGGAAGGCAACAACGAUACAACAUAUUUUUUAGCCCACUGAAGGCUGCUUAAUGUUGAAGAAUCAGACAAACUGAUUAAGGUACUCAUCGACAGUAGUAUAUUUUACAUCUGGGUAAAGUUGUGAAGCUUCUACUCCAAAUGAUGGUUCAAUUUCAAAGUUUGUCUGACCUCCCUUGACAAAAACUGCAUGACUAAGUGCUAACUUCACGUUGCCUGGAGCAUUCUUCAGAAUUUGAUCUUCAGGAAUGUAAUUCCUUUCAAGGGUUUUGCCUAUCUUUUUCUCCCACAAGGACACAAGAUCA
rnacentral:misc_RNA from 1 species